rnacentral:lncRNA from 1 species
UAGCAGGACAGUGAGUACGGAGGAACGCGCAUGCGUACUGCAUGCUGCACUGGACAGCAGGCAUGAUGUCCCCAGGCGGCAGCGCACGUGCAAUUUGGAACGCGCUCUCAUGGUCUCCGAACUUAUGAGCGUGAUUAUGUAUCGGGACACAUCCCAUUUCCUUC